rnacentral:lncRNA from 1 species
ACCUGCAUGUCAUACCAGUGUCUCCACACCAUUUGGUUACGAGAAUAACUAAUGCAUAUGGCACACAAUGACCUACACUUGAUAUCGCUAUCACCCUAAUAAUAGCAUAUCAUUUGAUCGCGAACCAGUUUAAGGACUGCACGAUAAAACCUCUUUUAUCGAUCAAAGUAGUUCUAAGAACUUCAUCACAACAUCGGAGUUCGUUAGAAGAUGUGAUCUUGUGAUGAAAAAGAUCAA